CUAUCAAAGUUCCCCCGUUUAACGGUAGCUCCAUUUCAAGAGGGUGGAAAAAAUGUACUGCUAGGUACCGAGUCGAGUGGCAUCAAAGGCGGCGGUCUCAGAAAACAGCUCACAUGGAACUUGACUUUUCUCUCUCUUCUCAUCUGACAAGUACCGAUUUUAUCGCAAACAAGCUUCCAGCAACUUCGCAUAUUUGAAAGCAAUUGACGAAGAUGAAGACCGUGCUACGAAAGAGACUUCAUCUUCUUCCAGACGAGAAAAAAAGGACUCAUUUGUGCUCUGCUUUCUGCACGGAACAGCUGAUAGGUGCAAUUGUCUCACCAAGAAAGGACCCGUAAGCCAUAAGGUUCGGGAUGCUGCAUCUCGUUAAAUGAGGUACAUAAUUGCUGUAAUUCCCAACCAGCAGCGCGUCAAGAAGAAUUCCUUGUCGCAAAUAUUUUUGCAUAUCCGGUCCAUUGUUCCCAUUAUGGUUUGCCAAUGGUUCGUUAAGGAUGUGUGCAAGGAGCAAGAACGCAUAAAUUGCAAUUAACGAGAGGCUUGUCGAAGGUGACGCAGUCGAAACUAUUCUGCGAGUAAAAUGAAAGCCGUAUAUUAUGUCCAAACUUGCUUGAAUGUCGAGUGAACACUCUGAAGUUUUUUUUUUUCUAUUUCCUUCAUAAGUAUCAAUUCAAACUGCAGUUCCAGCUUUAUCAUCAUUUAAAAUUUUGUUAAACAUCAGAUAAACUAUAAACGAUCAGACUAUCACUUAUUUUAUUGGAAAUGUUAAACUUAAGUAUAUGGAAUAUGAAUAAAAAUUGAAAAUCCUA